rnacentral:rRNA from 1 species
GGGGAGGGGGGGGUGCUUACCAUGGCAGUCGAACGGAGCACCCCUGAAGGAGUUUUCGAGACACAGGAUGGGACCGCUUAGUGGCGGACUGGUGAGUAACGCGUGAGGAACCUACCUUCCAGAGGGGGACAACAGUUGGAAACGACUGCUAAUACCGCAUAACGUGCAGCCGGGGCAUCCCGGAGGCACCAAAGAUUUUAUCGCUGGAAGAUGGCCUCGCGUCUGAUCAGCUAGUUGGUGGGGUAACGGCCCACCAAGGCGACGAUCAGUAGCCGGACUGAGAGGUUGGCCGGCCACAUUGGGACUGAGAUACGGCCCAGACUCCUACGGGAGGCAGCAGUGGGGAAUAUUGGGCAAUGGACGCAAGUCUGACCCAGCAACGCCGCGUGAAGGAAGAAGGCUUUCGGGUUGUAAACUUCUUUUAAGGGGGAAGAGCAGAAGACGGUACCCCUUGAAUAAGCCACGGCUAACUACGUGCCAGCAGCCGCGGUAAUACGUAGGUGGCAAGCGUUGUCCGGAUUUACUGGGUGUAAAGGGCGUGCAGCCGGAGAGGCAAGUCAGAUGUGAAAUCCGCGGGCUCAACCCGCGAACUGCAUUUGAAACUGCUUCCCUUGAGUAUCGGAGAGGUAAUCGGAAUUCCUAGUGUAGCGGUGAAAUGCGUAGAUAUUAGGAAGAACACCAGUGGCGAAGGCGGAUUACU